AUCGAUGAAGAACGCAGCGAAAUGUGAUAAGUAAUGUGAAUUGCAGAAUUCAGUGAAUCAUCGAAUCUUUGAACGCACCUUGCGCUCCCUGGUAUUCCGGGGAGCAUGCCUGUUUGAGUGUCAUGAACUCUUCAACCCACCGGUUCCUUGUUGAACCGUGUUGGCGUUUGGUUUUUGAGCGUUGCUUUUGCUACUAAAAAGCUCGUUCGUAAUAUAUUAGCAUCUCAAUUUCCAAAUUUCGGAUUGACUCAGCGUAAUAGACUAUUCGCUGAGGACACCUGUUUUAAUUAUUUAAAACUAAGGUGGCCGAGUUUAGAUAACAGUUAGAAGCUUCAAACUCUUACUUUUUGAAGUCAAAAUCUUAGAUUAGACCUCAGAUCAGGCAGGAUUACCCGCUGAACUUAAGCAUAUCAAUAAGCGGAGGAAAAGAAACUAACAAGGAUACCCCUAGUAACGGCGAGUGAAGCGGGUAGAGCUCAAAUUUGUAAUCUGGUACCUUUGGUACCCGAGUUGUAAUCUCGAGAAGUGUUUUCCGCGCCGGACCGCAUACAAGUCUGUUGGAAUACAGCGUCAUAGUGGUGAGAACCCCGUAACUGAUGCGGAUGCCCGGUGCUUUGUGAUACACUUUCGAAGAGUCGAGUUGUUUGGGAAUGCAGCUCAAAUUGGGUGGUAAAUUCCAUCUAAAGCUAAAUAUUGGCCAGAGACCGAUAGCGAACAAGUACCGUGAGGGAAAGAUGAAAAGCACUUUGGAAAGAGAGUUAACAGUACGUGAAAUUGUUGGAAGGGAAACGCUUGAAGUCAGACUUGCUAUUUGGAGUUCAGCCGCAAGGUGUAUUCUUCGAUUUGCAGGCCAGCAUCAGUUUUUGGGGGUGAAAAAGGGUUUUGAGAAGGUAGCAGUUUCGGCUGUGUUAUAGCUCUGAACUGGAUUCAUCCUUGGGGACUGAGGAACGCAGCGCGCUUUUUGCAAGGUCUUCGGGCUUUUUCGUGCUUAGGAUGCUGGUGGAAUGGCUUUAAACGACCCGUCUUGAAACACGG
rnacentral:rRNA from 1 species